AGGGGAAAUUCCCAGCAAAUGAUGUUUUUCAAACUUUUCUAGCACAUCAUUCAUGAAGAAUUAUGCACUUUGUGGUCCACCUAGAUUGCUAGUCCCACCUUGCAAAAACGACAUCCACAAAAACUCCCAAAUGAUUAUAUUGCAUACUUUUAGGUAUGGUUUACCAACAAUUGGAGUACUAAUAGUCUUAACUAUUAUGUAUAGAAGAUGCCAAAAAAGGAGUACAACUCUACCAAUCAAAGAUGAUUUGUUGUCUUUGAAAACACCGAGAAGAAUUUCACAUGCUGAACUUUCACGAGCAACUAAUGGAUUUGAGGAAAGAAAUAUGCUUGGUUCUAGGAGUUUUGGAUAUGUAUAUAAAGGGAGGCUUUCAGAUGGAAUGGAAGUUGCAAUAAAAGUUUUCAAUUUGCAAACAGAGGGAGCAUUUAGGAGUUUUGACAUUGAAUGUGAUGCUAUGCGUAAUAUAGUUCAUCAUAAUAUUGUGAAGGUCAUUACUUACUGCUCAAGUGUUGACUUCAAAGCCUUAGUGCUUGAUUACAUGUCUAAUGGAAGCCUUGAGAAAUGCUUACAUGCUGAAAAUUGUUUCCUUGAUAUCAUAGAAAGGAUCGACAUAAUGAUAGAUGUUGCAGUAGCUAUAGAACACCUCCACAAUGGACAUCCAACACCUAUAAUUCAUUGUGACAUAAAACCAAGCAAUAUUUUACUAGAUGAAGACAUGGUUGCACAUGUUGGAGAUUUUGGCGUUGCCAAAUUGUUGGGAGAAGGUGAAGUAAUGAAGCAAACCAUGACUCUUGCAACUAUCGGGUAUAUGGCACCAGGUGAAUUCUUUUUUAUUUUUGUAUGAUUAUUUUCCUAAUUUGCAUUUUAUAUUUUUGUUUCAUGUGUAUGUGGAUAUAUAUUUGAAUAAGCAUUUUAGAAAUAAUUGAGGAUGAAUGAUGUUCUAAUUAUACUUGAAAUGCAGAAUUUGGAUCAGCAGGAAUUGUUUCUAUAAAAUCUGACGUCUAUAGUUAUGGGAUCGUACUUAUAGAAACUUUCACAAAGAAAAAGCCAACUGAUAAUGUGUUUGUUGAAGAAGAGACUAUAAGGCAUUGGAUGGAAAGAUCAUUGCCUAAAGGAGCGAUAGAAAUUGCAGAUGUUGAUUUAUUAAGAAGAGAGGAUGAGUAUAUUAUUGUUAAAGCAAAUUGUAUUUCAUCAAUCAUGGAGUUGGCUUUGAAUUGUUCAGCUGAGUUACCAGAAGAAAGAAAAGAUAUGAAAGAUGUUGUGGUUGAGCUGAAGAAAAUCAAACAAAGGCUGCUAAACAACAUCGAACAUUUUUAACAGAGAUGGUGAGUAAUGAGUACACUUGUGGUUAUUAGUUCACACUUAAUUUUAUCUUUAAUUCAACAUCUUUAAUCUAUUCUGGAAUUUUAAUCAUAUAUAUAAUAUGUCGGUAUUCGUAAAAAUUAAUAAACUAUUUUUUUCUUUUGCUCUCACGUACUAGGCUCUCUUCAAAAUUAAUAUUCUAUACUUUUAUAAUUUUUAAAGGAUUAAAUCAAAGUUUUAUCAUUUUGGGAGGGGCCAAAGUAUAAUUUUACGUUUAUUAAUUUAAAAUUUUAAAAAUUUUAAAGGGCCUAAAUGAAAAUUUUUUAAUUUUAAGGGGGGUCGGGACCCCUGCCAACUCCCCUAGGUACGGCCCUAUUAACAAAGCCCUCAACAAAUGAUAUUGUUCUCAUGUUAGGGUGUACGGCCCUAUUAACAAAGCCCUCAACAAAUGGUAUUGUUCUCAUGUUAGGGUUUUGUCUCUUGAUUCUGCUAAGAGCCCUAUGGGUUCAUGGAGAUGGUUGCAAGGUAAAGGCUACACCUGCAUUGGUUGGUAGUUUGAAUCCCUACGCACAUAUCCUCAAUGAUUAUUCCGCAGAGGCUAGGGAUAAAAUCCCGACAUAGGGACACUACCAUUAGUUGUUGAGGGCAGCACCGAUUGCCUAGCAAACAACAUUCAAAAGACUUCUCCUAAAAGAGUCGAUCUCCCUCAACAAAAAGUCAAGUACAAGGUCUAUUAUGGGUGAUCAUAAAUUAUACAAUCAAUGACAUAAGUUUUAUCGAUUUUCAAGUAUUUUCUAACUCUUUCUCUUUAUUUUCUUCUAAAUUUUUCAAUUCAGAGACAAGUAUAACACAAUGAUCUUAAUGGAGCUAGCUUGCCUCGUCAGGUAAUUUACUGCUUUCCAUUUAUUUAGAGUUAUUUAGAGUGUUUUGUAUUUAAUAUUGUCAUAGUUGAAAGCAUCAUUCAUAAUCUAAUCCAAUUGUGUUUUUAGCUAGCGGUUGUUGAUCAAAGAAAAAUAAAGGAGGCCAAUAAGAAGAACGAAACUCCACAUCUUGACUAUCAUGUUCUACAAAACAAAGAGACUUUUUUCUCGAUGAAAUUUGUAUUGGGCUAUCAAUGUUUCAUGGAUUAUGUUGUUUUUCUAAUGUAAGAUUGGGUUUUGCCAAUAUUGCAUGCAAAAUCAAAGUAAUAUUUGCCAAUGCUUAGCUUAAUCAACUCUAAUGCUGCUGUGGAUUUGAUUUGUCUUUACAGUACUUAGAGAUUAUUUUGUGAAUGUUAAAUUGUCUUUGGGCCUUUCAAAGAAAUUCAGCAAGCCUACAAGUUAUUUAAUUACUUUUGGACCUCCCAUGAAAUUUUUAUGUAUAAAACAUACAAUAUAUGGCUUGAAUUUCAUAAUUAUAUUAUAUAUAAUGAAUCAUUUGUUUCUUUUUCACCCUCUCCACCAAAAUAACCAUUAACAUCAUCAAAAUCACCCGUAUGAUCCCAAGGUUUCUUGUCUUGUCUAAACAUGUUUUUUUCUUUUAUAUUUUGUUAAUAAAAAAUACAAAUUUAUUUUAAACUUUCAAAAAUUUAGAAUUUAAACCUCUAAAAUAGAAAUUUUUAUUUGUCAAACUUCCACAAAUACAAACCUAUAUAUUGUUGUUAAUCCAAAUCGAAUAUUGGGUUUAGGGUUGAAGCAAAUUUAAAGAGGUAGACAAAGGUAUUGGCCCAACCAAAAUGGGAAAAAAAUUCUAUUAAGACCCUUUAAAAAUUAAUAAAUUAAUACAUGAUAAUUUCUCCAAAAAUUCUACUUCUCCAAAAAUUGAAUGUGAAACAGCAAAUUCAACGUAGACUUUUUUUUUUAAUCGUUUUUGAAACAAUGAUAUAAGAAAAUCCUAAAUGCAUUUGGAUUAAGCAAGAUGAAGAAAUGUUGAAAUUAUUUUGCUUAAUUAGAGACCCACAAUUGUGGAAAACUGAGUCAAUACUCAAAAAGUAUAAUCACAAUUCUACAAGAUAUGUGGUUUUAUCAUACUCACAAGGUGGGUGAACAAAUAUAUUUUAUAUUAAAAAAUAUAUGUAAAAAUAUUUAUUUUUAAACACAUCUUUAUAUUCUAAAUUUGUGAUUUUUAUACACAUAAAUGUGUGAUAAAAUUUGUAGUUAAUAUUUAAAAGUUUUAUUGAAUUUGUGUUACUCUCAAUCAAGUUACCAAUUCAGUAAUGUAUUUACCAAAAGCCCCUCAAUCAAGGACAUGGGCUUGACCGAGCCAACUCAACCUAUAUCAUCUGUUUCUAUUGAGUUUUGAUUGACCCUAACCCAAAGACCUGUCAAUGUUGCUAAAAUUGAAAUAUUUAACUUGUUGGAGAAGACUAAUAGUAGAAAAGUAAGUCAAUGCUAAAGUGAUAUGUCGACGGUUUUUUUUUUUUUUUUGGUGUAAGACGUUUUGUUGUUUUCAAAAUAGUUGAUAAGCCUGAAAUUAUAAAAGAUAAUCAUGAGGUCUUAAAUGCAAUUAUGAUAUUUCUAAAAAGAUAUUUCUCAACAAUUUUUUUUGAAUUUCUUAAUUGAUGAAAACAAAUUUAGGUAUUUCCCAAUUUGUAAAAACAUGAUUUUUUUUUUGAAUUUCUAGGUUUUUCUUAGCUUUUUUAUAUUAUUUUGAAAUUUUUGUAAUCUUCUUAUAAUUUCUUAAAAAAUAAUAUAUUUGUAAAAUUUUCUAAACCAUAUAUACCGAUGAAGGAGAAUGUGAUAAAAUUAGGGGUAAAUGUGUAUUUAAGCCAAAGAAAAUAAAAGAAUAAUAUUGAAAUUCACCAAAGACAAUUACAAGGACUAGAUGAACAAUUUGACCCGAAACUUUAUUUGAAAUGAUGUCAUUAAUGUGUUACAUCAGCUUUCUUAGAGAGAUAAAGAUUAAAUGAAUUUAAGAUACCAUGAAUCUUGUAUUUCUUUCCAAUACUUUCAUCUUGAAAUGAUAUGUCAAUUUUUUUAAAUGAAAAGGUUGAAAUGGCAUUAGAUGAAUAAAAAAAGAUACAAGUUUUAUGGUAUCCCAAUGUCAUUUAAUCCUUUCUUGCGUAGGGGUAUAAUUUUAAGGUGAGUUAUUACAAAUUAACAAAUGGAUAAUAUUGGUGACCAUAUAUUUACUUCAAAAGUUUGGUGACCAAAACUAUAAUUUUGAGCAAAUAAUAGUGACAGAAUUUGUGAUUUUCCAUUUUUUUUUUCAUUUUCAAAAAAUUUUGGUUUUACAUUUUAGGCAAAUGACAAAUUUAGCUCUAACAUUUUUUUCAUUUUACCUCAAUUUUUUUAUUGCUAUAGCCCUCAACAGUAACAAAUUAAAAAAAUCAAUUUAGCGUUUAUGAAAAAGAGUGCACCAAUUGAGUACUCAAUGAUUUCAAAAAAAUCAAUUGACCUCUUCAUUUAACAAAAACUGUGAGUUGAACGAUUUAACCAUUGAUAUAACUAAUGUUACGGACAGAAAUCACCAGAAGUUGUCACAUGAUAGUAUGAUAAUGUGGCAUGCCACAUAAAAAAAAUAAAAAAAUAUUUUUUAACAAAAAAUAAUUUUAAAAAAACAUUUUUAAAUUUACUUGCAACAACUUUGAGUAACAUCAUCCACAAAAGCUUGAAGGUUCAUAUCCAUAGAACCACCUUUCAUGGCGGCUUCCCUCGCUAACCCUUUCCAUUUCUCAACAUUUUUCUUCACUUCCAUCUCUUUUCUCUUCAUCCCCCAUCACCAAAUCCAAGCACCUAACGAUCUCAUCACGUUACUUUAUUGAAAGAAUAUUUUAUAAAUUAACUUAUUAUUAAACAUUAAAAAUAUUUGAAAGAAUAUUUAUGAUAUAAUAUAUUUAUAAUAUUAUAAAUAUAAUUUAUGCUUUAAUUAUAAGGAAAAUUUUGAAAGAUAAAUUUAUUAUAAUGUGUAGAUAUAUAAUUAAUGAUUCCGAAUCUUAAUAUAUACAGAAUAUAUAUGAUAUAAUUUUUUUUGUUAAUAAUUAAAUAUCAUUAAAUCAUUUUGUAAGUUUAUUAUAAUUUUUAUAAAUGAUACAAAAAAUAAUUUAAAGCAUAUUAUUCUAUAAAAAUAUUAAAAAUUAAUAAAUCAUAUUCUACUGAAAGGUGCAAAAUCGAUACAAGAAUAUAAUAUAAGAGGUUACAAUUCUUGUUGUAGAUAUAUAAUUUACUACUAAUAUUUCAAUAAGUUCAUUCUUUAUACUUUAAAACUUAUAAAUUUAAUCUCUUACUUUUUCAAUUUAAAAAUUUUAAUCCAGUUAUUAUCAUCUUUGAUAUUUUUUAUCAGAACUUGUGAACUUGUUUAUUUUGUGUUAGUCAUAUACCACAACAUAUAAGGGAAACCUAAUUAAUAUGUGAAGUUGACAAAUUUUGACAAAAAAAUAACAAUAGGACUAAAAUUUUUAAAUAAAAACAAGAAGACUUAAUUUUUUAAUCUUUUAAGUAUAAGGACUAAAUCUCGAAUUUUAUCAAAGUAUAAGGACAAAUAGAUUAUUUCAACCUUAUUUUGUUUAAAAAGUUUUUUACAUUUAUUAGAUCAAAAUAUUUUGUUAGUGCUUGUACCUUGACAACAUUUAAAAUUUAAUCCUUGUCCUUUAAAACUUAAAAAUGAAGUCUUCUUACUUUUCUAGUUUAAAAAACUUAGUCCUACCAUUAGGAUUGUAAGUAUUUUCUAUUCAAAUCUGUAAACUUGGAUAUAAUGUUGAGUACACUGCCUUCAUAUAAUGUUGCAUAUGAUUGAUAAUACAAAAUAAAAAUUAUGUUAAAAAAAAAGAAAUUAAAGAUCCAAACAACAAAAUUAAUAUAUAUAUAUAUAUAGUCGGUGCACACAUUAUUAUUUUUAUGCAUCUUUUACUAUACAUUCUUUCACAUGACUAAUUAUGAUGUUCAUAAAUCUAACAAGUUCAAUUAAUCAAUAUAAGUUAUCAAAUUAAAUUAAUUAAUUAAUAAUAAGUUAUUAAAUUAAAGUAAUGAAUUUAUAAGUUUAUAAUGUUCCAAAUUCAUAGUAAAGUAUUUAAUCAGGGAACUUAAUAGUUUAUUGAAUUGAUAUAUUUAAUUCCAUUCAUUACAAAAUUACAUAUUUAAAUUCAUAUGAAAUUUCAAACAUACUUUUAUUGAUUUUUUAGAGAAAAAUAUACUUUGUUGAUUGUUUUAUGGCUUAUAAUUUUUUAAAUAGUUUUAAAUAUUUUAUAAAGUAUUUAAUUUUUAAAAUAUAUCUUUUUAAAAGGGAAAUUCAUAAUUCAUUUAAUGAAUAAGAUCAUACAAUUUGAAGGGAGAAAAAUAACAAACACGUUGUAUGCGUUGAAGGACAAGCUCUAUCAAUAUAACAAAAACUUCAGUUUCAGCUUCAAUAGAUCAUUAUAGCACGUUGACGAUUGACUCUGUCACAACUAAAGCAUAAUAUAUUAGGAAUGAUUGCAAACACUUAAUAUAAUAAGGAAAUCAGCAAUAAAUGGUCCAAAGCACUUAAAAAUAUGUUUUUAGCUCACUUUAAAUUUCAAAAAGACAUUAUUUUUAAUAAUUUUUUAAUUUUUGUUAAGUGUGAUUAGUCAAAAAAAUACCUUUUAUACAGAGAUUUUAAAAUUCUUUUGUAACAUCCCGAAAUAGGGCCUAAAUGGAACAAUGGUUGUGAAACCACGAAUCUGAGAUAGAAAAGUUUAUUUUAAUUUAUUUUUAUGAUUUACCGAGUGAUUAGAUACAGGUAUUAGAGUAUUGAUAAGAAAUUUUAUUAAAUUGCAUGCCUAAAUCGUCUAUUAGGAUUUAAUUGCAAAAGUGGGUAAAUAUGAGUUUUAGAUGAUAAAGGAUUUAUUUGAAGUGCAUAAUUGAAGUAGAGGUCCUUAAAUGGUAAUUAGACCAUUAGAUUUUUAUGGAUAAAUUUUGGCAUGCAUAAAUAGAAAUAACUAAAGUUUUAAAUGAAGGGUAUUUUAGUCAUUGAAUAAUAAAAAGAAUAAAAAGGGAAAAAGAAGGCCAAAAAUAUCAUCUUCUCCAUAAGCUUGGCCGAAUAUUAAGGGACACCAUAGCUAGGGCUUUCACACUUUCUCAAGCUCAUAGUAAGUGAUUCCAAUCCCCAUUUUUAAUGUUCUUUACGUUUUUGGAGUCCCGGUAACUUGAUUUAGCUUAUUCUAGCAAUAAUUUAACCUAGGGUUUAUAUUUGGAAAAAUACCCAUAGGUGAAAUGUGUUUAUUUUGAUGUUUUAUGAUAGAAUAUGAAGUUUGAAAUUAUGUUAAACAACUUUUGCUAAGUGAUUUUAAGUGAAAAUGAGUAAAACGACAUAAUCUGUAAAAAUACCUAAUGUUCAUAAGUAAGUGCUAGAGUGGGAAUUCGAUGUUUCCAUAGAAGAAAAAAAUGUUCAUCAUGUUAUAAAACAAAAGAAUAUGGGAUGAAGUUUAAUUUCUGAGCUUUGGGGCAAAAGUGUAAAUAUGCAAAAGUUUACGGGUAAAACUGUAAUUUUUCCAAAAUUAAUUCAAUGACUAUUUUGAUGAAUGUGAGUAUUAAAUAAGCUAAAUUUGUUAUUAUAGAUCAAAAAGAAUGAAAUCUAGAGUUAGACCGGGGAAAGAAAAAGGUUGAGGACUAAAGUGUUAGAUUUGAUCACAUUUUGUACCAAGGUAAGUUUACAGUAAAUAAAUGCAACAUUUCAUUAAUUAUUAUUAAUGUUGUUAUUUAAUGUUGACUCAAGUAUGAAAUGACAGAAAAUUAGUAUUAAAAAGUCUCGUUGAAACAUUAGAAAUGUAUCGGAUACAAAUGUCAUGACAUUUGGGUAAAGAGAUCCCAUGUAAGACCAUGUCUGGGACAUGGAGUUGGCACCAAGAUGAGAGAUCCCCCGUAAGACCAUGUCUGGGACAUGGCAUGGGCACCGAUAUGAGAACUCUCAUAUGUAAGACCAUAUCUAGGAUAUGACAUUGGUAGUAUAGGAAACAUCCCAUGUAAGACCAUGUCUGGGACAUGGCUUUGGCAUGUUAUUAUCAGAUAUGAGACCCAAGUAUCAUUAUUAUUCCAAUGUGGCUCAACGGGCUAGAAAACAUAUUUUGUUCUAUGAAAGUUCAAGUAAAAGUAUAAUUAGCAACUUCAGUUGAGUUAUAAGAGUUAAGAACAUAUUAUGUUAUAAGAGUUAUAAGAGUUGUAAUCUUAAGCUAUCUAAGUAGGUAAGUAAGUAAACAAGUAAAUAAGAGUAAGUAAAGAGAAAAUUUAAGAACAUGAUACUUGCAUAUCAUUAUUUAUGUUAAAUAAUGUCAUUUAUUUACUUGUAAACUUACUAAGCUUUAUGCUUACUUCUUUGAUUUCUUCUUCUUUCAUAUAGUAUUAUCAAGCAAAGUCGGGAUCUUGAAGACGUCGGAGAGCGUUCACACUAUCAACCACCACAACUCAGUAUUUUAAGACGAUAAAUGUUUUGAGCUAUGGCAUGUAUAGGGACUUGGUCAUUUCGAUUGUAUAUUCUUAAGAUAUGGCCAAAAGAUGAUAUGUAAAUAUUUGAUGUUGAGUAGUUAUUAAAAUAGCUAAGUAUGAAGGUGUUUGUUGUUAUAAAUGUCUAGGUGAUAAAUUAUCCAUAGAAAUCAUGAAAGAGUAAAAAUUGGUAAUGAAUCAGUUUUGAGACAGCAGUAGUGACGUGAAUUUGAAAAAUCACCAAGGAUAGUAGAAAAUGAAUUAGAGGGUGGAUGAGAUAUAGAAUUAAAGCUUAUUGAGUAUAUUUCAUAGAAAAUUAACAGUGUAGGCAAAGGAAUUAUAUAUUCUGAGAUAUUUUCAUUUAGGUUAGACAAGGUCAAAGUGGUUUUCGGAAUCCCUUGUUUUGAAUUUAUAAAAUCAUUAAAAAUUUUAAAAAAAUAAUUAUGAGCUAUAAUUUACAUUUCUAGGUUCCUUAAUAAGUCUAUUUUCUGUAGAAACAAGUUAGAGCUCCAUAUAAAAAUGAUAUACAGAGAAAAUUUAUUUUUAGUGAAUAAAGGUCAGAACUGUCAGGCAGUGAAACAUGACAGAAUUUAAUGAAUAAGCUGAACCAAAAAUUUUGAAAAUUUUAUGGUAAGAAAAUAUAUGAGUCUAGUUUCAGGGAAAAUUUACGGAUUCAAAUUUGAAGUUUCCUAACUCGAGAUAUAAUUAACUUAGUGACUGCUGCGCAGGUGGACAGCCUUAUUAUGAACAGUGAAAUAAAAUUUGAAAGUAAAUUUUUAUGCCCCGAACUAUUAAGUUAAGUCAAGUAACGCCUCAUGCUCGACUCUGGAAACGGUAUCGGGUAAGGGGUGUUACAUCUUUUUAAAAGAUAAAUUUGAGGUCUGCAUUGAACUCUACAUAAAAUAGUAGGUUCAAGGUCGGUUAUGUGUAAGGAAGAUUGUACUAGCCCUACAACACUCAAAAUUGGAACUUAUUAAUUACGCAUUUGUCAAAAAAUUCAAUGUUGACACCAUUUUUUUGAUAAAACGGGGUCGACUUGGAUUUAAAAAUGAAAAUGAAAAUGGGAGUCGCCACCAAUUCUUUUUGAUGAGUUCUGAUCGGCUCACCUCGGAAAGUGGUUGUUUUUAAUAAACAAUUUGAUUUUAUUAAAACAAUGAUUUUGGUCCACGAAAUUUAGAAAAACGGGUUCGGGAAUCGGUUAUGCACGAGGAAGGAUUAGAACCCUCGAUACGCCCAAAAUUGGUACCUAGUUGAUUACUUAAUGUCUUAGUGUCGAAAAUUAAAAACUUUGAAGAGAUUUAUAAUACAAUCCUUUAUUAAAAUGUUGAAUUUUUUUGGGAAAAGGGCAUAUUUCACGUUAUUCGAGAAAGAGAAUUAUAUCUAGUAAGUUAGGACACAAUGUCUUGAAUUCUUGAUACGCGAAUAAAUGCUAAAAAUUUACUUAUUUAAAAAGAUAUUUAAUUAUCUCGGGUUUAGAAAAAGGAUCAUGCCCAGUAAGUUAGGACACAAUCUUUUUUCAAAUCCCGAGAUCGUUUAAAACUUGAGAGAAAAAAGGAUCAUGCCCAGUAAGUUAGGACAUGAUCUCUUUUUAAAUUCCCAAGAUCGUUUAGAACUUGAGUUUGAAAAGAUUCACGUAUUUAGAUUUAUUAUGAAAAUCGAAACCCAGUAAGUUAGGGUAUGAAAUUCUCGAAUCUAAACACGAGAUUUUGCUUAUUCAAAAAAAUCAUAAUUUAUGCAUUAAAUAAAAUCACGAAAUAGUUGAAAUGAAAUAUGAUAUCAAUAUAAGUAACAAAAUAAAAAUGAAUACAAUGACAUAAGCAUAAAUAAUACGAGCCAUAGCAACAAAAAUAAGUUAAAUAAAAAGGACAAAUCAAUAGCAUACAAAAUAUCAAGCAUAUAAGCGAAUAAGAUUAAAACAUUCUUUUAAAAUAAUAAUGAAAAUGUAAACAAAGAAAUAAAUAAAGAAAAGGAAUAAAAUUAUAAAAAUGUAAAAAUAUAUAUAUGUAUGUGUAUGUACAUAAAAUUAUGGAAAUAUAAAAUAUAAAAAAAUAUUAGUACAUAUAUAUAUUUAUGAAAAUUAAAAAUAUGUAUGUAGAUAUAUGUAGAUAUGUAUAUAAGUUAUAAAAUAUAUAUAUAAAAUAUAAGCAUGCAUACAUAUAUAUAUAAAUAGGUUACAAAUAUAUAUAUGUGUGUAUAACAAAGAUUAAAGUAAAGAUAUAAAUAGGCAAACAAAUAAAUAAAUGAAUAAAUAAAAAAUUAAGAUAAAAAGGGCUUGAUUGUAGCUUAAAUUAAAUUAGCAGGAUAGAUUAAAAAUAAUAAUAAUAAUAAAGGGACCAAUUUCAAAUGUGCAAAGAAAAGCAGGGAUUAAUUGGGAAAAUAUCCCAUAUCGACAAAACGGCAUCGCCCCAAGGAGGCACCUGCGCAUGGUCUAUGGACCAAAUUGAAACUGAAGCCAAACUUUGCAGCCAAAAUAAAAAAAAGGUAAAAAAUUUCGCAUCGAAUAUGCCGCAAAAGCGGAGGGGCUGAAAGCCAACUAGCCCGUCCGCUCAAAAAACACGUGGAUCCUGGCUUGGAGCGAGUCGGGUGGAUCGGGUCAAAGCCAAAACGACAUCGUUUUGGUGCCUGGGCUUGGGGCUCAAAACGGUGUCGUUUUGAACCUCUAUAAAAGCUAAUUUUUUUGUUAAAAAAAACAUUUUGUCCAUUCUUUUUUUAAAAAUUUUGUGGGAGCUUUCUCUGCUCUCUCUCACUCUCUGAUCUCUGACGGAAUUUUGACCGGUCCUCACCGUGCCGGCUACCGUAUAUGGUGGCCGAAAAACUUGAAAGGUAAUUUUUUUUGAGUAUUUCGUAUAUGUUUAUGUACACUAGUUUUUAAAAAAACACACAUAUGUAUAUAUAUGUUUUGAAAGAGGAGAUUAAAGAAAAAAUCAAAAAUAAAGUAAAAUAAAAGUAAAUAAGUAGAAAGGAAAGAAAAAAAAGAAGUAGAAUGAUAAAGAAGCCCAGAAUCACCUUUGAAAUAAGUUUUAUUUUUUCUCUCUAAUGAAUUCUUUUGUAUUUCAAAACAACAACUAAAAAAAACCCCAUUUACAUUUUCGAAUGGCUUUUAUAUAGCCAUUUUGUUACAUAUUUUUUAUUCCUCUUUUUGCUUUUUGUCGCUUCUUUCUAAUUUUACAAGUGCAAGUGGCGAUCCGGCACUGCCGUGGCAGUGGCAGAGGGUGGCGGCUGCGGCGCCAGAAGACCAAGGGUAUAAAGACCCUAGGUGCGACCUUUAGGGUUUCAAAAAUUGAAACCCUAGUCUAACUUGGAGUUGGGAUUUUGUUGGGCCUCGGUUUGGGUUAGGCUAGUUGGGUUUGUAAUGGGUUUUGGGUAUUGGGUAGGUUUUGUUUUGUUUUGUGUUUUGUCUUGUUUUGAUUUUGGGUUUAAUUGGGCUCCGGGUCAAAAAUUUGGUGCUAUAGCUGCCCCUCUUUACUCAUUGUCGUGCAACGAGAAUAGAGAAAAGACAUCAAAAUGGACCAAUUUUUGCCCAGUGUCGCUGAAUCUUGACUUCUUCUAGCGCUUCUCUUCUCCAAGUAGCAUCCUUCCGAUCCACUGUAUCUUGUUGCUUCGAUCCACCCCACUGCACUUCAGAGAGAUACGGCUUGUAGCUUCAAUCUUCUUCGCAGCAACUUCAGAAGGACGAGGUUUGUGGUUUUAGUCUGCUACACUACUGCAACUUUAGAGGGAUAAGGUUUUAUAUGAUCUGCUCUACUAUAACUUCAGAGAGAUAAGAUCUGCAAUGUAUAGCUUCAAUCUGUUCCACUGCAACUUUAAGGAAAUAAGAUUCGCUAUCUUCGUUCUGCUCCACCGCAACUUCAGUGAGAUAAGACUUGUUAUGGUAGAUUUAAUCCGACCUACAGUAACUUCAGAGGUAUAGGAUUCAUCGUUUUAAUCCGCUCCACUGCAACUUCAAGGAGAUAGGAUUAGUAGCUUUAAUCUGCUCCACUGCAACUUCAGGGAGAUAAGAUUGGUAUCUUUAACCAGCUCCACUGUAACUUCAGGGAGAUAGGAUUAGUAUCUUCAACCUGCCCCACUGCAACUUCAGGGGGAUAAAGUUGCUAUCUUCAGUCUGCUCCACUACAACUUUAGGGAGAUAAGACUUGUAUCUUUAACCUACCCCACUGCAACUUUAGGGGGCUAAAGUUUGUUAUUUUAACCUGCUCUACUACAACUUCAGAGAGAUAAGGUUUAUGGCUUUAAUUUGCUCCACUGCAAGUUCAGGGAGAUAAGAUUUGUAGCCCAUCUUUGAUUUACUUCGCUGCCAAUACAGGAAGACAAGACCUGUUAUCUUAAACCUACUCCACCGCUGCUCAGGGAGACAAGAUCUGCUAUCUUCGAUCUACUUCGCUACCAAUACAGGAAGACAAGAUCGAUUAUCUUGGACCUACUUCGCUGCCAAUACAAGAAGACAAGAUCUACUAUCUUCGACCUACUCUACUACUGCUCAAGGAGACAAGAUCUGCUAUAUUUGAUCUACUUCACUGCCAAUACAGGAAGACAAGAUCUGUUAUCUUCAGUCUACUUCGUUGUCAAUACAAGAAGACAAGACUUGCUAUCUUUGAUCUGCUUCACUGCCAAUCCAGGAAGACAAGAUCUGCUAUCUUCUAUCUACUUCGUUGCGAAUACAGGAAGACAAGAUCUGUUGCUUUCAGCAUUAACGCUAGGGAAAUAAGAUUUGUUGUUUUUCAAUCUGAUUCGCUGCCAGUACAGGAAGGCAAGAUCCGCUAUCUUCAGUUUACUUUGCUGCAAACUAUGGUGUAUUCGAUCUGCUUCGCUGUCAGUACGGGAAGGUAAGAUCUACUAUCUUCAGUCUUCUUUACUAUCAGUACAGGAAGGCAAGGCUGGUGUCUUCGAUCUACUUCACUGUCAGUACUGGAACAUAAGACUUGCUAUCUUCAGUCUGCUUCGCUGUCAGUACAGGAAGCAAGACCUGCUAUCUUCAGUUUACUUCGCUGUCAGUAUAGGAAGGCAAGGCUGGUGUCUUCAAUCUGCUUCGCUAUCAAUACAGGAAGGCAAGAUCUGCUAUCUUCACUGAUCUGUUCUCUGGGUAACAUUGCCUGUAUAAUCUAUUUUAUGAACCUAAUUAUGCCUAGUGAUUAGGAUGACAUGAUCAGAAUAAAUCAAAUUCUCCUAACUAGACGUGUAUGAAUGACAUUUGAAUGAAUGCAGAAUGUCAUUUUUUCUAGAAUGAUCCUUCUUUAUCACUUAGGUUAUCAUUACUCAAAGUUUAUUAAGGUUUUAUCACUGAUGCGCUACAAUGCCUUUUUGCUUGGCUGGCAUAUCCAAAGAAAACAUUUAAUCAGAUUGCCCCCACUGUGAACAUCAAAGUUCAAUCCACUGGGACGCAAAAUUUUACCAUCAUUCUCCCACUGUAACCCAAGGGUAGAAAAAUAUGGCUUUUUCUCAAUCCUCUCCUAUCGCAAUUCAAGGAUACAGAAUGUGAAGCUCUUUGGUUUUUUGUCCCAUUCCUAGGGUGUCAUACCAAAUGCUUAUGCAUCAAUGAAGAAUUUUUUUCUCCCAAGAAACCUCUUCUUAUUGCUUGGUGAACAUCGCUUGUUUGUUCAUUGGAGCUCUGACAUCUUGUAAAUUUUGUUCAAUCAAUGUUUUGACGACAAAAUCCAAAAGGAUAGUCUUAAUUUAGACUUUUUCUUUUUAGAUAUUUCAACCUUUAAACUUGGUGCGUUCUAAACAAUAACCCCAUUUCAGGUUCCUAUAUUAUUUAGAAACUUCUAGAGUAAUAUGCAAAACUUCCAUUGUGAAACUAUUACCAGUCCAUUAAUCAUUAUUCCAAUACAACAUGCUUGAAAAAGAUCAUAACAAUGGAUGAACAUAGAAUUGAUUUGGGAGCAUCGCUCAAAAUGGAUAAAUCAUCAAAGAGAGUAAGAAUAACAAAGGAAUUGAUUAGGAACACAUAUCUUGAAAAAGAAUGAAGUAUUCCAAGAACAUGAAAUUCAAUAUAAAUAGUGUGAAGACUAGGAGCCCUAGAUAUCGCAGCUUGAACUUCUCUGUACAAACUUUCUAGAGAUCAUUCUAAGUUUGACAUGUGUUUAUGAGAUCUACAGUAUUUUGUUGAUACCCCAAGAUGUCGCCUACCCUUUUCUGUUGAUUCAGGUAUAGCAAGAUCACCACAUGCCUCAAUCUGACCAAAAUUUGAGCUGUUGUGAUCACCUCAUGUCUCAUUCUAAUUAAAAUUUGAGCCGCCCAUUUUGGGUUUUCAGCUCAAAUCCCCUUUGGUCUCAAGGCACCCUUUACAGAUUUUCGCCUUGGCCUCUCCUUUUUAUUUCUUUUUCUUUUCUUUUUUCCUUCUCUUUUUUUUUGAAAUAUUUUUUACUCUAAACUCAUAGGAUUAGGCAAGUCCUUGUUAUCCCUUACGGUUGAAAUUAAUGUUUUUCCAGAUAGGGUCUUUCAUAUAAGGUCCUUUUCGGUUUGGCAUCCACUUCUUUCUGAGGUCUUUUUGUAUGGUGAAGAUCUUAUUCAGUACCAGGUCCCCCUCAUAGAAUUCUCUAGAGCGGACCUUCUUUGAUAAGCUUGCAUCAUUUGCUUUUGGCACAUUUGACCAUCAUGGAUAGCUUUGAACAUUCCUCUUUAAUCAAGAUUAGAUUCAAAAACUUAGAGAGAAUCUUGUCUUCAAUGGGUAAAACUGAGAUAAGCUAAAAAGAAAUACGUUGCCUCAGUAGAGUUUUUUCUUUACGCUGUCCUCUUUUUGGGCGAUAUGGUGUUAAUCUUGAACAGACUGUAAACUUCUGAUAUUGUGCUCUUGUUCAAAUCUAGUGCAUUGUCAGAUAUGAUCCUUUUCGGAAUUCCAUACAGACAUGAUUUUUUUUAAACAAUUUACUGACUGUCGACUUUGUGACAUUGGCAUAUGAAGCGGCUUCUAUCCACAAAGAUAAAUCGAUGACCACCAGAAUCCUUUGGCGAGAUCGACCCAAUGACCUUCAUGCCCCACAUAGGAAGAAGUCAUGGAUUCCAUUGAUUCUUUGUAAGGUAGGAUCUAUUUUUCAUAUUGUUCUACCAUCCUUAAUAAAUCCAGAGAUAGGCUACAAUCUAUGUCAUCUUCAAAGUCAUGAGAUCCCUCUAAACACAUAUCUCACUCAGAAGGAGAUUCUGAGUCUGUAGCAGCGUCACUCAUGUUGUUUAUAUUUAGGGACCUAUUGUAGGUACAAAAGAAUAUACAAAGAAUGUAUGAAUUUAAGAACAGUAUGAUUAUGAAUGAAUAAUUGAUUUGGAAGUAAAUCCAAAAGAAUAAAAGAAUCAAAAAUAAUUAUUCGUAAAGAAUGAAAGACUAUUGGCUCAAAAAUGAUCGCAAAGAUACAUUUCAUUAAAAUAAUAACAUUCAGACAUGAGCCUAUUUCACAAAAGAGUUCUUAUUGCCUCUAGGCUGAAAACAACAAGUGUGUUCUGAAUAUUACUCUAAGUAGGCUCUAAAUACUACAAAGGUUUCUUUUACGGUCCAAUUUAUUUAGAGCACCUCCAAGUUUAUAAGGGUGGACAUCUAACAAGGUCCUCUUUUCAGUUGCCUUCAUGUACAGCAUUGAUGUGAACAUUUUCCAACACUUUUUCAUACAUUGCAUUCAUACCAUUAUCAAUGUGAUUGGGUAGCGAAUUUUCUGCAUUGGAUGAAUCAUCAAAUUUGACAACGCCCAUACUGAUAAGCCUUUCAACCACUUUUUUAAGGGUAAUGAAAUUUUCUAUGGAAUGUCCUGUAAUUCUCGCAUGAUAAUCGCAUUGUACAUUCAUGUCGUACCAUUUGGGGUACGGAGGUUAUGGGGCUUUUGAGUAGAAAGGGGCAACAACGUGCGCAUCGAAUAAGCUGUAGUAUAGCUCCUUAUACGACAUCAGAAUUGGCAUGAACUGAAGCUUCUUAGUGUUUUAUCUUGUUCUAGAUUCUUGUCUUGAUGAGUCUUGUUGGUUAACGACCAUUUUUCUUGGUUGAUUCACCGUAAUUGGUCUAGAAUAACCCUUAUUAUAUGUACUCGUGUUGUUUACCUCAUUUUCCUUUUCCUCUAGGUCGACCUUUUGUUAUUCUCCUCAGUAUCAAUCUUUCCACCCCUUAUGGCACUUUAAAUCAUCUCACCAUUCAUGACUAUGUCAGAAAAACUUUUUAUGGCACUUCCUAACAUAUGUGUGAUGAACGGGGCUUUCAAUGUAUUGAUAAAGAGCACUGUCAUUUCUCUUUCCAAGAGUGGUGGCUGAACCUAGAUGGCAAUCUCCCUCCACCUUUGUGCGUAUUGCCUAAAAAUUUCAUUCGGCUUCUUUUCCAUAUUUUGUAGGGUGAUUCUAUCAGGGACCAUAUCUGCCACAUGACUGUACUGCUUCAUAAAUGCUUGUGCUAAAUCCCUCCAAUAACUAAUCUGGGUACGGCUCAAUUGAUUGUACCACUUAGACGCUGCCCCUAUGAGGCUAUCUUGAAAGCAGUUUAUAAGUAAUUGGUCGUUGUUAACGUAUCCAAACAUUCACCUGCAAAACAUGGUAAUAUGGGCUUCAGGGCAGCUGGUCCCAUUAUAUUUUUCAAAUUCUGGCAUUUUGAACUUAUGAGGGAGUACCAAAUCCGGGACCAAACUCAAGUUUCUAGCAUCAAUCCCCUGGUAAUUCUCACUACUUUCCAUAGCCCUGAAUUUUUCUUCGAACCACGUACAUCUCUCCUCCAGCUAUUUUGGCAAUUCUUCCUUUACUUUUUCUUUCUCAGCCACUUCAUCAAAAUCGGGUGCGAUAGGAUUUGUAGGGUUCUCUCCAGGGUUAAAACCUAAUCCAGUCUGGAAGUUCAUUGGCAUUGAGGUACCAACCAGAAACUGCUGAGGCCCGAUUGUGACAGAGGAUCUGCGUUGGUGCACAUCGACUUGGGGUUGUACUUGUGGAAGAGUAUAGCCCGGAGGGUAGAGGGGUCCAUCAUUGUCUCCUUCUUCAGCAUUAGCCAUAGGGCUCUUUCCUUUAUCAUUUUCCCCAGCCAACAGUUGUGUUAGUUGAGUCAUCAAGCUCCUUUGGGACUCCACCAUCUUUUUCACCAAAUCUUGCUGAAUUUUUUCCAGUCGCUCUUGCAUUUGGUCUUGCAUCUCUUUUUGGAGCUUUUCAAGUCUUUCCAUUCUUUGAUCCAUGUUCUUCAAUUUUGCCCGAGUACUGUAAGGGUGUUGGUUUUCUAGGUUAACUGAAAUAAUUUUAUUCAAUUAAGGUCUUUUUAUGGUCGUUAAUGCAUAUAAUGUCAUGUAAUGCAAAUGCAUGAAGUGAAUGCAAAAAGAAGUUGACUCUGAUUCAAUUCCAUUUAGAAAACUUUACUAAAAAAUAAAUUUCUUUACAUAUAGCAGAUGCAUGUACGGCCUUGCCCUCAUACUCCAAGAAACAACAUCGAUCUUUCCCUUUAUCCGGAUGUUUAAGAUAAAUCUCAAAAAUUUCAAGUGGAUGCCACUACUAGCUCCUUCUUGGUUGAUCCUAGUUGCGAUCCAUCGUCUGCCCAUCCUCGUAAUGCUUAUCACCUUCUUUAAGAAAGUCGAAAUGUCGACGACUAUCAAAUAAUUAGCUUCAAUCCUCAAACUGCGAAGUAAUGUCAUGUACUCUUCCAUAACCCUUCUUUUGUUAUGUUUCUUGGAAUAUAUUUUGGCGACCGUAUUGUCUCCCACUUUAUCAAGAAAUCCAUUUUCUUAUGAUAAGCUCUCUAUUUAGCAACUGAACAUGAAUCAACACCUUUUUCCUAUUUGAUGAAAAAUGCAAUGCAAUGCAGUGCAAUCAUAAUUGAAACAAAAUGAAACGGGUUAGUACAAAGCAAAAGUAAGCAAGAAAGAAACAAAUAGAGCACCUAUUCGGGUGACCACUAAGGGUUUGGAGUGGCUCUACUUAGGGUAGGCUCCUAAGGGGUUUUUGACAUGCAGUUUAGUUCUAAAGCAAAGGUACCCGUACCAGUAGAUUCCUCAAUCCUCACCCACUAUAGGCUCAUAUAGACUGAGUUCGGUUCAGGGGAAUACAUUUCCCUAUGGCUGCACGGAGAUGAAGAUCUCACGAAGACAUAGGUACGGAUGUAUCCCGAAAGCGAUCUACUAUCCUACACGGAGGUGAAAACCUCACGAAGGAAUAGCUUCUCAGUCCCACUUAAAAGGGUGUGACCAACGGUCAUGCAAUGCAAUGUGCAAAAAGAUACCAAAACUUAGACUAACACAACAAUUAUAAACCAUAAUUUGAAUAUCAUAAUAAAGACGGAUGAAAUGCAACGAAAGUAUCGUAUAUUUAAAUCAAGUUUUCAAUUUUCGACGAAAAGACAAAAAGUAAUCAACUCGUGGCUUGACUCUCGUAUUUUGGGUCCCCAGUGGAGUCGCCAAGCUAUUGACACCAUUUUUUUGAUAAAAUGGGAUCGACUUGGAUUUAAAAAUAAAAAUGAAAAUGGGAGUCGCCACCAAUCCUUUUUGAUGAGGUGUGAUCGGCUCACCUCGAAAAGUGGUUGUUUUUAAUAAACAAUUUGAUUUUAUUAAAACAAUGAUUUUGGUCCACAAAAUUAAAAAAAAGGGGUUCGGCAGUCAGUUACGCACGAGGAAGGAUUAGCACCUUCGAUAUGCCCGAAAUAGGUACCUAGUUGAUUACUUAAUGUCUUAGUGUCGAAAAUUGAAAACUUUGAAGAGAUUUAUAAUACGAUCCUUUAUUAAAAUGUUGAAAAUUUUUGGGAAAAGGGCAUAUUUCACGUUAUUCGAGAAAGAGAAUUAUAUCCAAUAAGUUAGGACACAAUGUCUUGAAUUCCCGAUGCUCGAAUGAAUGCUAAAAAUUUACUUAUUUAAAAAGAUAUUUAAUUAUGUUGGGUUUAGAAAAGGGAUCAUGCCCAAUAAGUUAGGACACGAUCUUUUUUCAAAUCCCGAGAUCGUUUAAAACUUGAGAGAAAAAAGGAUCAUGCCCAGUAAGUUAGCAAAUGAUCUCUUUUUUUAAUUCCUGAGAUCGUUUAAAACUUGAGUUUGAAAAGAUUCACGUAUUUAGAUUUAUUGUGAAAAUCGAAACCUAGUAAGUUAGGGUACGACCUCGAAUCUAAAAACGAGAUUUUGCUUAUUCAAAAAAAUCAUAAUUUAUGCAUUGAAUAAAAUCACAAAAUAGUUGAAAUGAAAUACGGUAUCAAUAUAAGUAACAAAAUAAAAAUGAAUACAAUGACAUAAGCAUAAAUAAUACGAGCCAUAGCAACAAAAAUAAGUUAAAUAAAAAGGACAAAUCAAUAGCAUACAAAAUAUCAAGCAUAUAAGCGAAUAAGAUUAAAACAUUCUUUUAAAAUAAUAAUGAAAAUGUAAACCAAUAAAUAACUAAAGAAAAGGAAUAAAAUUAUAAAAAUGUAAAAAGAUGUAUAUGUAUGUGUAUGUACAUAAAAUUAUGGAAAUAUAAAAUAUAAAAAAAAUAUAAGUACAUAUAUAUAUUUAUGAAAAUUAAAAAUAUGUAUGUAGAUAUAUGUAGAUAUGUAUAUAAGUUAUAAAAUAUGUAUAUAUAAAAUAAAAGCAUGAAUACAUAUAUAUAUAUAAAUAGGUUACAAAAAUAUAUAUGUGUAUAACAAAGUUUAAAGUAAAGACAUAAAUAGGCAAACAAAUAAAUAAAUAAAGAAUUAAGAUAAAAAGGGCUUGAUUGUAGCUUAAAUUAAAUUAGAAGGAUAGAUUAAAAAUAAUAAUAAUAAUAAUAAAGGGACCAAUUUCAAAUGUGCAAAGAAAAGAGGGGAUUAAUUGGGAAAAUAUCCAUAUCGGCAAAACGGCGUCGCCCCAAGGAGGCACCUGUGCAUGGUUUAUGGACCAGAUUGAAACUGAAGCCAAACUUUGCUGCCAAAAUCAAAAAAGGUAAAAAAAUAUCGCAUUGAAUAUGCCACAAAAGUGGAGAGGCUGAAAGCACAAUUAGCCCUUCCGCUCAAAAAACACGCGGAUCCUAGCCUGGAGCGGGUCGGGCGGAUCGGGUCAAAGCCAAAAUGAUGUCAUUUUGGUCCCUGGGCUUGGGGAACAAAACGAUGUUGUUUUGAACCUCUAUAAAAGCUAAUUUUUUUGUUAAAAAAAAACAUUCUGUCCAUUCUUUUUUAAAAAAUUUUGUGAGAGCUUUCUUUGCUCUCUCUCACUCUCUGAUCUCCGACGGAAUUCCGACCAGUCUCUCACUCUCACUCUUUUUUUGCGUAUUUCGUAUAUGUUUGUGUACACUGUUUUUUUAAAAAAACACACAUAUGUAUAUAUAUGUUUCAAAAGAGGAGAUUAAAGAAAAACUCAAAAAUAAAGUAAAAUAAAAGUAAAUAAGUAUAAAGAAAAAAAAACAUGAAGCUGAAUGAUAAAGAAGCCCAAAAUCACCUUUGAAAUAAGUUUUAUUUUUUUCUCUCUGUUGAAUCCUUUUGUAUUUCAAAACAACAACUAAAAAAAAGCCCCCAUUUACAUUUUCGAAUGGCUUUUAUAUAGCCAUUUUUAACAUAUUUUUUAUUCCUCUUUUUGCUUUCUGUCGCUUCUUUCUGAUUUUGCAAGUGCAAGUGGCGAUCUGGCGCAGCAGUGGCAGUGGCAGAGGGUGGCGGCUGCAGCGCCAGAAGACCAAGGGUCUAAAGACCCUAGGUGUGGCGCUUAGGGUUUCAAUUUCUGAAACUCGAGUCUAACUUGGAGUUGGGAUUUUGUUGGGCCUCGGUUUGGGUUAGGCUAGUUGGGUUUGUAAUGGGUUUUGGGUAUUGGGUAGGUUUUGUUUUGUUUUGGGUUUUGUCUUGUUUUGAUUUCGGGUUUCAUUGGGCCCCGGGUCAAAAAUUAGGCCCUACAUUCAAUAUUUAAAAUUGAGAAAUCUAAUGAUUAAUUAUGACCCCUUGAAAUAAAAUACUAACUUUUCGAGUGAAUUAAAAUUUAUUAGUGAAAUAAUUUUUAGUAUCUCUUGAUAUCCACAAAAAUAUUAAAAACAUUUUAAAAAGAAAACAAAACUAGUAAAUUCACUUUAUUUAGAAAAAAGAUAUCUCCAAACUAAUUUGAUCAAUGGUUCACCACCUUGGAAGCUGUUUCCAAUGAAAGUAUAUUUUAUAAACUAAAUUAUUCAGGUCAUUAUUUUAGAUGAUCCUCUCCAUAACUACUUUUACUUGUGAGAGAAAAAAAAGUCUAAUAUUGAAAAAGCCCAUCAAUAUGAAUAUGUUUCUCUCUUUUUUUCCUUAUAUUAUUUAUAAAUCCUUUUUUUAAUAUCAUAAAAAUUGGUAUAAUUUAAUUAUCAAUAACUUUUACUAACCUUUGAACUUGAGGAUAAAACACAUUUGAGCACGAUUAAACUCAAAUUUUCCUACACUGACAAUAAUACCAAUACUAACUCAACUAAAACUCAAUCACCCAUAUAUUUUAAUUUUUAAAUAUAAUAAAACAUGUGCAUCUAGAAUAAUCUAGUAUAUAUAUAUAAUAGUGUACCCGGUUGCGUGGCGAAUUUUGUUAAUUUAAGUUUAGACAUGGAUUGCUAGUUUGAUAAUAGAUGUGUUUUUAUUUUUGUAAUUUUUAUGUCCAGGUUCAUCGUCGAUAUUUGUGGAAUUGAACUAUAAUUGAAAAAAUAUAAUUUUUAAGAUAUUUUUAUACACUAAAUGUUAACUCUAUUACAAUUUAGACGUAUUUAAUAUUUUUUUGGUUGAACAUAAGCUUAGAAAAUUAAGCGCUCAUCAGUCCAAAUGAAAAUUAUCAUCAGUCACCAGUGAUUGUCUAAUAUCUUCUUCAAGCUAGCAUCUCACAUAAUGCGGAGGAUCUUCCAAGAUAACCAGCUGCUCAAUUACGCCUCCAUCUGCCUUAGCUAUGCAAUCAACAAUUUUAUUGGCAUUCUGCUAAAUAUGUCGAAAUUUGACUUCCCAAUUUUUGGAACACCAAUCGUGAAUCUAUCUUACUUCAGCAACACUACUUAUUGUAGCCAACCCGUUACAAAGAGUUUCAAUCAACAUCUUGUAGUCACUUUCCAUAUUUUCAAUCUUUCAGGAAUAGCUCUGGCUUCAAUCUAGGAGAUAUCAUUCAUACCUAAUACAGAGACUAAAAUAAUAUAUUUAAUAAUAAAAAGACCAAUUUAAUCCAUUUCCUAGUAUACAAAUAUAUCCCAAAUAAUUUAAAAGUGAAUUUUAUGUUUGGGUUUUUGAUGUGUGAAAUAUUGAUGGUUCUAAUUAAGUUUUGAUUGAUAAACUAAUAAAUGUAAUUAAAUAUAUUAUAAGAUACAAAAUUAUUGUUUGAUUCUCCAUAAGUCGGUUUGGGUCACUUUCAUUGGGUGACUUACCUCUAAGUCUUCUCACGUCUACAUUAAUUCACAUUUUCUUUUGAAUUUCUAUGUAGAAAAAGGAUGUAUGGAAACAUGAUUACGAUAGUGUUGAAAAUAAUGAUAUGUUAGGAAAAAAUAUAAAAAAAGGUGUAUAUAAUUAGUUAAAUAUACAUAAAUUUUGUAGCGUUACUAUAAUUUUAAAAUAUAUUAUUGUUAAAAAAUUUUAAAUUUCAUAUAAAAUUUCAAACAUAUUUUUAUUGAUUUUUUAGAGAAAAAUAUAUUUUGUUGAUUGUUUUAAGGCUUACAAUUUUUUAAAUAGUUUUAAAUAUUUUAUAAAGUAUUUAAUUUUUAAAAAUAUAUCUUUUUAAAAGAGAAAUUCAUAAAUUCAUUUAAUGAGUAAGAUCAUACAAUUUGAAGGGAGAAAAAUAACAAACACGUUGUGCGCGUUGAAGGACAAGCUCUAUCAAUAUAACAAAAAAAUCAGUUUCAGCAUCAAUAGAUCAUUAUGGCACGUUAACGAUCGGCUCUGUCACAACUCAAGUAUAAUAUAUUAAGAGUAAUUGCAAAUACUUAAUAUAAUAAGGAAAUCAGCAAUAGAUGAUCCAAAGCACUUAAAAGUAUGUUUUUAGAUCACUUUAAAUUUCAAAAAGAAAUUAUUUUUUAAUAAUUUUUAAAUUUUUGUUUAGUGUGAUCGGUCACAAAAAAAAAUACCUUUUAUACAGAGAUUAUAAAAUUCUUUUCAAAAGAUAAAUUUGAGGUCGGUAUUGAAUUCUAGAGAAAAGAGUAGGUUCAGGAGUCGGUUAUGUAUAAGGAAGAUUGUACUAGCCCUACAACACUCAAAAUUGGUACUUAUUAAUUACGCAUUUGUCAAAAAAUUCAAAAUUUAAAAUUGAGAAAUCUAAUGAUUAAUUAUGACCCCUUGAAAUAAAACGCUAACUUUUCGAGUGAAUUAAAAUUUAUUAGUGAAAUAAUUUUUGGUAUCUCUUGAUAUCCACUAAAAUAUUAAAAAUAUUUUAAAAAGAAAAUAUAUCUAGUAAAUUCACUUUAUUUAGAAAAAAGGAUAUCUCCAAAUUAAUCUGAUCAAUGGUUCACCACCUUGGAGGCCUAUGUCCAAUGAAAGUAUAUUUUAUAAAUUAACUUAUUAUUAAACAAUAAAAAGAUAUCUGAAAGAAUAAUUUUUUAUUAAUUUUGUUUUAAGACACCAAAAUCUAUAUUGAACAAGUCAAAUUUAGUGAAAAAAUUAAAUAAAAUUUUAAGUUUACUUUCAAAGUUAAAUAUGACUUAAUGGUAAAUUUACUUAUAUAUUCAAAGUGUAAUGAUAAACAUCAAAUAAAAUAUAGUGAUAAAUUUCAAUACACUUAUAAUAUACUGGCAAAUUUACACUAUAACUCUAGAAUUAUUGAAGUUUUUAUCCCCAAAUCAUCCACAAUUUGUGGAAGAGCUCGUCAAUUACUGAAGUUUAGCCCUAAUGACCCAUUUGUGUUAAUAAAGUUAACAUUUACUAUUUAAAUUUUUUUAUUUAACAGAGUUAAUUUUUUUAAAGUUUUAUGGUUUUAUAAAUGAAAUAUUUCUUCUAGAAUUAAACUACAAUUGAAAAAGAAUUAAAAUAUUUUGUACACAAUAAAUGUUAACUCUAUUACAAUUUGGAUAUAUGUGAUUUGAGUAACUAAAAAAAACAUUUAAUAAUAAAAGGAGGAAUUUGAUGCACUCGAGAUCCCAAUUUCUUUUACUCAAUUAAUAUCAAAGUGCUAACUAUAAGAACCAAGACUAAAAAAUAAAGUUUUACACUUUUGAUAUAACCAAUAACAGAAAAAUAGCACAAAAUUAAUUAGUUAAUUCAAUUCAAUAGGAACUUGUGUUAUAUGUAGUUUCGAAUUGAAGUAAAGUAAGAGGAAUGUAAAGAAAUAAAUGAAAACAUGUUUUCCUAAGUCCAAAUCUAGCUCAUUUUCAGCAUUUUGAGCUUCAAGUGGUUGCAGCAUCAAUGAGACACUACCUCCAAAUGUGCUGUAAAAGGAUGGCUCAAAAGCAAACAUUGCUUUUGGUUGGAAAGUGGUGUUGAUAGGUUAUGGAUGCGGGGUAGUGUUUGGAAUGGCCAUGGGAUGUGUUGCUUUCCAAACCGGCAAGGCGAAAAGGUUCGUGAAUUUGGUUGAAGACCAACAUGAGAAGAGGCGAAGAAGAAAGCCAAAAUAUAGCAAUAGCAUCAGUGGAUGAAGAAGGAUCUAGUUGGUGCAAAUGAAGUUAAAGCAUUUGUGCUGUGUCUUCAUAAUUUCUUGUUUAGUAGUCUGUCAGAAAGUUUUUCCUAUGGUGAAAAGUUGCAUUGGUAUGUGUCUGUUUUUAUGAUUGUACUAAUUCCUCUGUAUUUCAUUGCAUUUCGUACUAUUUGUACGGGUUUAGUUCGAGUGUAACAUCUUGUAUGGUGCAACUAUGUAUGUCUUCUUUCUUGAAUUUCAAUUUUUAGUUAACAUUAUACUGCUCACCAUAAAAAAAAAUUACAUGUAGAAUUACAAAAGAUUCAAUUAUUCAAGUUUGAGUUGCAUUGAUAAACACGUGAUGAUGAGAAUUCAUGAACAUAAGGUAUGGUUUGAGCCCUUUUGCCAUACGCAUUUAUGUUGUAGAUGUUCAAACAUGGAAUAAUUCAACCUGCCUUUGUGUAUUCUUAAUUUUGUGCCGAACCUAUAUAUCUAUCAACAAAUUUAAGAGUAAUAUUUACAAUAGCAUUGCAGAGUAACAUAUUUAAGAUUACACAGUCAAAAGAUUGCAGCAACGAUGAGAUUAAUCCAAUUAGAGGAAUUGGUAUCCUAAAUGGCUUUUAGGUACGUAGCUUCAUUGACGGUUGAAACUAGUUAAAAUUUCCAGCAUUCAUGUCUUUGUUUUCCCUCAAGUAAACGUAGUCAAUACUGCAAAUGGUGUGGAAGUAUUGUACAUUGUGGCCCAAAUGUCCAAAAUUUCCACAUUGCUUGUAAAUUAAGUUCGGGUGAGAGAGGAGGAAGCAACAGCAAGUGUGAAGUCAAUAGACAAUUGGUAGUCUUAGCCCUUUUUGUGGAGUUAAAAGUAUAGUCAAUAGACAAUUGAUAGUCAAAUUUGUAGCAGUCUUCUUCCUCCUUAUUCUUUCGUGUGGAAAAUUAUUUAGGACCAAACUUGACGUGUUAUAGGGAAGAAGACUGUAAUCUCAUGAAUGAAAAAUAUAUGGUAAAAAGGAAGUAGUUGUUGAUCACUAACAACAUGAUGAUUGUGGAAAUACAAAAAUUCUCAUAUAUGUGUUGAAUUUUGCAUAAUGUGAAUGUCCUGCAUUGCAUGUGAAUUCUGCAAUAUAGUCCUUUAAUUUGAGUUAAUGAAAAGUAACCAUUCUUAUCAAAAUUAGUUAUACUCUUAAUUUAUAAGAAAGGAAAGAGUAAUUUGAGUUUAACUCAAAGGUUAAUACUCGUCAAUUAAUGAAGUUUAGCCCCAAUGACCCAUUUGUGUUAAUAAAGUUAACAUUUACUAUUUAAAAAAAUAAUUUUUUAUUUAACAUAGUUAAUAUUUUUAAAGUUUUAUGUUUUUAUAAAUGAAAUAUUUCUUCUAGAAUUAAACUACAAUUGAAAAAAGAAAUUAAAAUAUUUUGUACACAAUAAAUGGUAACUCUAUUACAAUUUGGAUAUAUGAGAUUAGAGUAACUAAAAUAAAACAUUUAAUAAUGAAAGGAGGAAUUUGAUGCACUCGAGAUCCCAAUUUCUUUUACUCAAUUAAUAUCACAAUAAAUGGUUUAGUUUAUUUUUUUAUUUGUCAGGAUAGGAGGAAUUCAAUUUAAAAAUUUUAAUCCAAUUAUUAUCAUCUUUGAUUUUUUUGUCACAAUUUCUCAACUUGCUUAUUUUGUGUUAGUCAUAUACUACGACAUAUAAGGGAAACCUAAUUAAUAUGUAAAGUUGUCAAAUUUUGACUAAAAAAAAUUAACGAUAGGACUAAGAUUUUUAAAUAAAAACAAGAAGACUUAAUUUUUAACCUUUUAAAUAUAGAGACUAAAUCUCAAAUUUUAUCAAAGUACAAGGACAAAUAGAUUAUAUCAACCUUAUUUUGUUUAAAAAGUUUUUUACAUUUAUUAGAUCAAAAUGUUUUGUUAGUGCUUGUACUUUGACAACAUUUAAAAUUUAGUCCUUGUACUUAAAAAGUUAAAAAUUAAGUCUUCUUACUUUUCUAGUGUACAAGCCCAUUUUGCCCGGGCCCAUUACCAAAAUUUUAACCCAAUACACCCAAAACAAUUAACCUCAGCCCAACUAGCCUAACCUGAAGCCCAAACCCGAGCCUCAGUGACUGAGGCCCAAUCCCAGCUAAAAAAAUCUCUGCCUAGGGUUUCAGACGCCUAGGCGCCGCCUCUAGGGUCUUUUUUCCCUUGGCCUUCCGACGCCGCCAGACGUCCCAUCCGCGCCGCCCGCGGUCACGUCGGCCACUCCACUUGCGCCGUCACCUGCAAAAACACGCAAGAAACAGUAGCAAUCAAGAAAAAAAGACAGUGUAAACGGGCUAUAAAAGCCAAAGACCCCCACUGUCAAGGGGUUGGGGUUUUGAUUCUCUUUUUCUUUCUUUUGUAACGUUUCCACAAAACAAGAAAUAUAAAAAUCAAAGGUGAUUUCUAGUGUUUUUGAUUUAGUUGUUGUAAUUCUUUUUUUAUUUUCGUUUUUUUUUUGUGCAUUUAUAUACAUAUAUUUAAUAUAUAAAGAAAAAAGACAAAAAUCACCGUGACGGAGUUUCAAAUGCCGAUCCGGCGCUUCGUCGGCCGUCGGAGGUGGUGGCGGUACGGCGAGCGCAAAGUCGACGCUAAGAGGACCCAAGGGUCGGGUUUUUGAGAGAAAAAAAAGAAAGGUUUUUGAAAUUUUUUAAAAAAAACAGUGGCUGAAAUGAAAAAAAUAAAAAAGGGUGUUUAAAUAGCAAGAGAAAACGACGCCGUUUUGCCAUUAGGGUCAGGCGCCAAAACGAGGCCGUUUUGGCCCUGACCCGCGCGGUGACCCGACCCUAGGGGAGGAUCCGCGUGUUUUUGACUCUCGGGUUAUUUGCGCAAUUGGUCCCUCCGAUUUUGUGGCGCUUUCAAGGAAGUUUUUCGCAUAUUUUCAAUUUUGGCCAUGAAUUUUCGCGUCUGUUUCGAUUUGGUCCCUCGACCAUGUGCGUGCAUUCACUGGAAUGGCAUCGUUUGGUCAGCGAGGGAAUAUUUCCAUUUUGGUCCCUCCUCUUUCAGUGCGUGUUACAAUUUAGUCUUUUUAGUCUUUUUAUUUCGAAUCUGCCCAAUUUUUUUAUUUUAUUUCGAUUUGGUCCUCUUUUUAGUACUUUUGCUAUUUUGUUCGUUAUUUUUGUAUUAUGAUAAUUAUUAUUAUUAUUAUUAUUAUUACUAUUAAAUAUUAUUAGUUUUAUUUUCCCUAUACGUAUUCGUUACUAUUUUGUUUGUUAAUUAGUUGCAUGUUAUUUUUAGCUUUAUUUUAUUCUCUAUAUAUACAUAUACACACACAUAUACAUCAUGCAUUUACAUGUCUUUAUAGUAACUUAUUUUAUAUACAUACAAACAUAUAUAUAAAUAUUUUUGUAUUCUAUAAUUUAUAUACAUAUAUUUGCACACCCAUAUAUAUCUAUAUAUAUAUAUAUAUAUUUUAAAAUACAUGUACAUAAAAUAUGCUUUCAUACAUCUUUAUAAUAUAUAUACUUACUUAUACUUUAUACUUUCAAAAAUAUUCAUUUUGUUUAUAUUCUUUAUAUUUUAUAAUAUAUUUUAUACAUAGGUAUUUUAUAUAUAUAUAUUAUAAUUCACAUAUGCAUACAUAUUUUAAUUUAUAUCUAUAUACAUAUAUGUCCCUUUAUAUUUUUAAUUGUAUUCACUUUUUAUUUAUUUCAAUUUCAUUUAUUAUCUUGAAUGAAUGUUUUAAUUUUAUUCGUUUAUAUACGUUGUUAUUUGGUAUGUUGUAAAUUUGAUCUUUUAUUUAUCUUAUAUUGUGCUAUUGCUCGUAUCAUUUUUAUACUUUCGUAUUCAUUAUUGUUUCGUCAUGCAUAACAACAAUGUAAUUUGUUUUCACAUUCUUUACUACGACUUCGUGUUUUAUUUUACUCGAUAUAACAAAAUUUGUUUUGAAUAAAUACUAUUUCGUGUUUAGAUUUGAGAGAAUCGUACCCUAACUUACUGGGUUUCGAUUUUUGCAAUAAAUCUUAAUAUACGAAUCUUUUUAAACUCAAGUUUUAAAUGAUCUCGGGAUUUAAAAUAGAUCACGUCCUAACUUACUGGUCGUGACCUUAUUUUUAAAUCCGAGAUGGCUAAAAAAUCUUCUAAAUAAGUAAAUUUUAGCAUUUUUCAUUCGCGUAUCGGGAAUUCGAGAUAUUGUGUCCUAACUGGAUAUGAUCAUCUUUCUCGAAUAACGUGAAACAUGCUUCUUUUUCUAAAAAUUUUUAACGUUUUAACAAGGAUCGUAUUUUUAAAAUUUUCUAAAAUUCUCAAUUUUCGACAUUAAGACAUUAAGUAAUCAACUAAGGUACCAAUUUUGGGCGUAUCGAGGGUGCUAAUCCUUCCUCGUGCGUAACCGACUCCCGAACCCGUUUUCUAAAUUUGUGGACCAAAAUCGUUGUUUUAAUAAAAUCAAAUUAUUUAUUAAAAACAACCUUUUUCAAGGUGACCCAAUCACACCUCAAAAAGGAUUGGUGGCGACUCCCGUUUUUAUUUUCAAAAUCCAAGUCGACCCCGUUUUCAAAUCAAAAAAAUGGUGUCAACAUCUAGUUUAAAAAACUUAGUCCUACCAUUAGGAUUGUAAGUAUUUUCUAUUCAAAUUUGUAAACUUGGAUAUAUGUUGAGUAGACUGCCUUCAUAUAAUGUUGCAUAUGAUUGAUAAUAAAAAACCUAUUAAGUUGAAAUUUUUUAAUGGAAUUAAAAAUAAUUGGACUAGAAUUUUUAAAUUAGAAAAGUAGGAGGAUUGGAUAUUUUUUUACUUUUAAAUUACAGGGACUAAUAGCAUAUUUUAAACAAUUUAUUAUUCUGAAAAUAAAAGAACAUAUAGUAAUUAAUAAAAUAUAUUUUUUAAGUUUUUUUAGUGGAUUAUGUGGAGUAAUGUGAAGAAAAUUUAGGAGAAAUUUUGAAAAUUUGCUUCUUUGCAUGUAUUUUUUAAAGAAGAAGACUUGACAUUUAUUUUGAAAUUUCUUCAAAACUUCGCUUUCCUUUUUAAUUUUUAGGGUAGUCUUAAAUUUAUCAAGCUUAUCAAGUGUGCGAGGGUUGAAACAUAUUAAAGCAUGCUCUCUGGGCUUUUCUUCAUCAUCCAAACUAUUUUAUCAACUCAACUUCCCUUUUCCUACUUUUUUUUUAUUUUCUUGCCUUACUCCAUCUUGCAAUCAUGAACUACAACACUUGCUUUCAUCUUCUUUUAGCUUUAUUCAUACCAUGUUCCGUACUUUGCUUGGCUAUGACAGUUAGGAAUCUCAACUCCGAUCAGUUUGCACUUCUCGAGUUUAAGGAUCGCAUUGCCAGUCCUCAAAAUGUCUUGGCAAACAAUUGGACGGCCUCAACUUCUGUUUGCAAUUGGAUUGGUGUUUCUUGUGGCAUCUUCCAUAAAAGAGUUAUAGCUUUGAAUCUUACAAGCAUGAAUCUUAGGGGUACUAUCCCUCCACACCUUGGAAAUCUUUCAUUUCUACUCUCUCUCGACUUGAGUAGCAACCAUUUCUAUGACCAUCUCCCUAAAGAAUUGGGCCAAUUGCAUAUGCCAGACUUUUAUUUUUAUUUUAUUUCUAGUUUUACAAUAUUUUAAAAAAUUAUUAGUGUAUUAUAUGUUUUGUCUAUACAAAUCACAAGGACUAAUUACUACUCAAAACUUCUUAUUAUGUCUCAACUUUCUAAUUGAUUUCAUCACAUUUCCAUGCCAAAAUUUUAUUCUUAAUUGAGUUAAAGUUUUACAGUUUUUAUUUUAAUGUAUUAUAUAUUUUGUGAAUUUGGUAUUCAAUGACUAUGUAUACUAAAAGAUGCUAUUUUACAGGUAAUUUACCACCCAUCACCAAUGCUCCAAAGCUUGAGAUUCUUUUAUUGUGGGGAAAUAAACUCAGCGGAAACAUUCCCAACUCUAUCUCCAAUGCUUCCAUGCUUCAGAUUAUAGACUUGGACCAAAACUUAUUCUCUGGCCCAAUCCCUAAAAUACUUGGCAGCUUAAAACACCUUGAAGUGCUCCAAAUCCCUGACAAUAAUUUGAUCACAGGAUCUGCUACUGAUCAUGAGUGGAGCUUUCUUUCUUCUUUGACGAAUUGUAGGAAUUUGAGCGUAAUAGAUGUUUCAGGAAAUCCAUUGAGUGGCGUUCUUCCUACUUAUAUCGGGAACUUUUCAAAAUCCCUUCAAUACUUUUAUGCCUCUAAUUGUGAGCUUCAAGGCAUUAUUCCUAUGGAAAUAGGUAACUUAAGCAACAUGCUGGUUUUAGAACUUGGCUUUAAUAAAUUAAGUGGAUUCAUUCCAACAUCAAUAGGAGGACUGCGAAAUCUCCAAAGUCUAGGUCUUUCCUCUAAUAAAUUAGGAGGGCCCAUCUCGGAAAGCCUUUGUGAUUUGGAGAGAUUAUACAAUUUUUUUUAGGGUUGAAUAAGCUGCAUGGAUCCAUACCAUCUUGUUUGGGUAAUAUUACUUCUUUGGGAUAUCUUUACUUAUAUUCCAACAGAUUGAGUUCUACAAUACCCUCAACUUUGUGGAAUCUUAAAGAUAUCUUAGAAAUAGAUUUAUCAUCAAACCAUCUUCACAAUUCACAUGCUAUUGAUGUUGGAAAUUUGAGGAGUCUACUGAAACUAAAUUUAUCAAGGAAUCUUCUCACGGGUGAUCUCUUAUCCACAUUUGGGGGUCUUCAAACUUUGGUUUCAUUAGAUUUAUCAAAUAAUAUACUACAUGGUCAUAUCCCUGAAUCAUUUGAUAGGUUGAUUAGUUUGGAAUUCUUGGAUUUAUGCAAUAACAAUCUCUCUGGAGCCAUUCCCAAAUCUUUGGAAAAGCUUUCACAUCUAAAGUAUUUUAAUGUGUCUUUCAAUAGACUGGAAGGGGAAAUUCCCAGCAAAGGAUGUUUUUCAAACUUUUCUAGCACAUCAUUCAUGAAGAAUUAUGCACUUUGUGGUCCACCUAAAUUGCUAGUUCCACCUUGCAAAAAUGACAUCCGCAAAAACUCCCAAAUGAUUAUAUUGCAUGCUUUUAGGUAUGGUUUACCAACAAUUGGUAUUGUCGUAGUACUAAUAGUCUUAACUAUUAUGUAUAGAAGAUGCCAAAGGAGGAGUACAACUC
rnacentral:lncRNA from 1 species